rnacentral:ncRNA from 1 species
GUACGGGAUCGACGUGCUGGUGCCUGCGCCCGUGCGCAGGCUUAAUAGGGAACCCGGUGUGAAUCCGGGGCUGCCCGGCAGCGGUGAGUGAGAACGAAACCCGUCUGGUGCACUGGCUCCCCGAGGGAGCUGGGAAGCGGCGGGAAGUAGGAAUCCGGCGUCAUGCCGGAAGGCUCGCGAGUCCGAAGACCUGCCAGCAUCCGUGCGCGAGA